rnacentral:rRNA from 1 species
UACGAAGGGUGCAAGCGUUAAUCGGAAUUACUGGGCGUAAAGAGCUCGUAGGCGGUUUGGCAAGUCGGGUGUGAAAUUUCGAGGCUCAACCUCGAAACGCCACUCGAUACUGCCAUGACUGGAGUCCGGUAGAGGAGUGCGGAAUUCCUGGUGUAGCGGUGAAAUGCGCAGAUAUCAGGAGGAACACCAACGGCGAAGGCAGCACUCUGGGCCGGUACUGACGCUGAGGAGCGAAAGCGUGGGGAGCAAACAGG